rnacentral:rRNA from 1 species
GAUGAACGCUGGCGGCGUGCCUAAUACAUGCAAGUCGAGCGGACGGACGAGAAGCUUGCUUCUCUGAUGUUAGCGGCGGACGGGUGAGUAACACGUGGAUAACCUACCUAUAAGACUGGGAUAACUUCGGGAAACCGGAGCUAAUACCGGAUAAUAUUUUGAACCGCAUGGUUCAAAAGUAAAAGACGGUCUUGCUGACACUUAUAGAUGGAUCCGCGCUGCAUUAGCUAGUUGGUAAGGUAACGGCUUACCAAGGCAACGAUGCAUAGCCGACCUGAGAGGGUGAUCGGCCACACUGGAACUGAGACACGGUCCAGACUCCUACGGGAGGCAGCAGUAGGGAAUCUUCCGCAAUGGGCGAAAGCCUGACGGAGCAACGCCGCGUGAGUGAUGAAGGUCUUCGGAUCGUAAAACUCUGUUAUUAGGGAAGAACAUAUGUGUAAGUAACUGUGCACAUCUUGACGGUACCUAAUCAGAAAGCCACGGCUAACUACGUG